GCUGUCGUGUGCGUGUGUCCUCGCCCGCUGUUUGGUGCUGGGGGGUGCUGGAGGGGUGCCGGGGGGAGGAUGGCCGUGUGGAAAUCUCUUUUUCUGGGCGAAAUGAGCUGCUGACAUGGGACCUGUGGGGUCUUCCUGCUCAGUGCUGACAUGGCGGAGUGUGUUCUGCCUGCCACCGCCUGGAAUCCCAGCACCCUGGCCCCUGUUCCUUCAGCCCCAGAUCUUGCCUCAGAAUCUGGAGUCACAGAGCAGCAGCCCCAACCACGGACACCACCAUCCUCACCUGCCCAGGAGCCUGGUGCCAGCACUGACCCUGACAUCCCACACCCAGACCUGGCCCCUGUGGUCUUUUUUUGUCUCCGGCAAACCACCAGCCCUCGAAACUGGUGCAUCAAGAUGGUGUGUAAUCCAUAUCCUUUGAGGAUCAUUUCCUCUUGGGCAUUGAUCCACCAACCCACCCUGGGCUUCCUCUAAACAGUUCUCCCUCAAGUCACAAGAUCAAGGUGAAAAGGAAAACCUCCUGCUGGCACUGAGUAUCUGAAAACUUUGCUUCAACACCUGUGUUGGGGAGAGUGGGGUCCAGCUGACCCAGGCAGCCUUGGUGGCGGGGCAGCUUGUAGGUCAAAGCUCACUCUACUGUCAGGAGAAACGAGAAGCUCAGAAGGUUGCAGUUCACUGGACAGUCUGUGAGGUCGAAGCCGAAGAGACUCUGGAGAAGGGACUGAAGCUGUGAGAAUGAGUUAGGGAAAAAGACACCUGCGGUUCUGGUUCUGGGAUCCAAAAGCAUCAGUCUAGGGAUUAAACAUGAGUCAAGCAUUGGCACCUAUAGCUUGGACUUCUGUGUGGGCCUGGGUAGGUCUGGGUUCAUCACUGGGGAGAAGAAGUGGGAGACAGGCUGCAUCAGGACCAGUCUCAGACCUGGCAAAGAGGAAGCCAUGUGCUGGCUCCAGCAGAAGGACCAUGGCAUGCAUCAUUCUCCCUGGCAAAUAAAGUCCUGUUUUCUAUUAAAAGUUCAAUAAAACAAUCAUUGAAGUGUAAAAACAACAAUAAAAACCCCCAGAAUGUCAGGAUUGGGAGGGUCUUUGGAACAGUGACUAUCAGGGCUAGGAGGGCUCUUAGAACAUGGGAUAUCAGGGUGGGGAGGGUUAUUAAAUUAAGGAAUGUUAGACUAAAUCAUUGUCUCAAACCAUAAUUCUUCCUUAGUCUGUAGUUUGUAGCCCUUUACUCUUGUACACGUUAACCACGUAUUUGUUUCUUUUCAUAUAGACUUGUUUGCCCAGUGACUAAUUCCUCAGAACUCAGAGCAGUGAAAUAUAACUGGGGACCCUGACAGCAGCCUGAUGCAGUGGGUAUUUGAAGUCCUUGGGUGGGAUGACUCUUACAACCCUUCCAGUUGUGAGUCUUUGAAUUUCCGGUGGCAGUCUUGGGGGCAGACUUUUUGAUCAUAGAGAACUUUCCUCCUUCAGGAGCAUCCCCCUAUUGUAGCGGUGGGAAGAGCUUUUAGAUUUCUGGGUCCUGAGCAGUGCCUGGGAUCUCUGGAGAUUCUGAAUUAGUCCCCAUCUGGGUUCCUAAAGUUGGGGGGAGAGAGAGAGAGAGAGAGAGAGAGAGAGAGAGAGAGAGAGAGAGAGAGAGAGAGAGAGAGAGAGAGAGAGAGAA